CCUACGUGAGUCAGCAGUGAGGAAUAUUGGUCAAUGGCCGGAAGGCUGAACCAGCCAAGUCGCGUGAGGGAAUAAGGCCCUAUGGGUCGUAAACCCCUUCUGUCAGGGAGCAAAGGCGUCCACGUGUGGACGAGAGGAGAGUACCUGAAGACAAAGCAUCGGCUAACUCCGUGCCUGCAGCCGCGGUAAUACGGAGGAUGCGAGCGUUCUCUGGAUUUAUUGGGUUUACAGGGUGCGUCGGCGGUGUGUCAAGUCAGCGGUAAAAUUUCGGGGCUCAACCCCGUCGUGCCGUUGAAACUGACGCCCUUGAGUGAGUGAGAGGUAAGCGGAAUGCGUGGUGUAGCGGUGAAAUGCAUAGAUAUAACGCAGAACGCCGAUUGCGAAGGCAGCUUACCGGCGCUCAACUGACGCUGAGGCACGAAAGUGCGGGUAUCGAACAGGAUUAGAUACCCGAGUAGUC
rnacentral:rRNA from 1 species